ensembl:lncRNA
CACAUGAACUCAUUUGUAUGGAGAUUAUUUAUGUGUAUCUGUAUCUAGAACAUAAACCAAUAUUUUUAAAUCUCCAUUUAUACUUUUUUUUUUUUCAUUUUUAAAUAAGCUAUCCCUUUCUCCUAAAAGGAAAAACCUGGAAUGCUGGUUUCAUUGCUGCCAUUUUUCAAAAGAUCCUUAUCUCUAAGUCAGGCUGAACCAGGUUGGGUCACAAAUAUUUGCGUCAGCUAUUUUGUUUCUGCACACAUUCAAAGGUGCAACAAUGGUCCAAACAACAGAGAAACUUAGCAACAGUUGCUCCCGUCUUCAGUAUAACACUUAAUUUUCCCAUUAAUGUAUGAAAAUUCUCCAGAGAUUGGCUAUGAGCUUGCAUUGCUAUUUUUAUUUUUAUCAAUAAUAAUAGUGGAUUUUAUUGGGCAAAUCUUUUGCAGCGAGCGAUAAGUUUAUGCAAAUCAUCUUUUCAUCCUCACACCAUCUUUGAGGCAUAGCCAAAGGGUAGAUCGUUUUAUCCCAAUUGAAAAGAUAAAAAGAAAUUGGUAGAGAUGUCAGCACAGGGAGGAUUACUGGCUUUGAAUUUGGUUUGAGGUUUUACUCUUUCCCUCACCCAACCAAUUCUCUCUCCGGCCAUUGCCCACAGGGUGAUGCUUUUGCAUACGUACGUUAGGUAAUGCAAUUUCCUGCUUGCUUGUACAGGGGUACAAGUACUUGCUACACAGUGCCUGACCUGUCUCUGGAACCCUAUCUCAUACCUCGUUCUUCAUUCAUUUUGCUCCAAUGCCACUGGCUGCCCAGGGUUGCCUUACCUUGGAAUCACCUCCAAGGACAAGAAUCCCUGAGAGUGUCACUUAUUAGAAAACGUUCCAGGAAAAGCCAGUAGGAGAGUGAUGGAGGUGGGACAGAAAAAGAAGAAAAUCCAGCAAGGGUGAGAAAUCAAGAAAAGUCCCACUUAGGACUGCUGCUGCUGCUAAGUCACUUCAGUCGUGUCUGACUCUGUGUGACCCCACAGACAGCAGCCCACCAGGCUCCCCCGUCCCUGGGAUUCUCCAGGCAAGAACACAACUUUGGCUUAUUUCUGCAGGGGAGGUCUGGGAGGUACCCCAUUGGCAAGGGAGUUGGGGAACUGAUACCCCCACUCUCAUCAAUAUUGCUAAAGGGCUGCCCCAAAGAAUGUCCACUCCCAGGACUCAGAGCUCUUGGGACUUUCAGGAAAAGUGAAUUCUGGAGGUCUGAAGGCAGCCCUCUGAGAGAGAGGCAACUGCUGCCCCUGGGAAGGAAAGCACUCCAAAGACUGAUGACUCCAGAUGGACAGAAGCAGAGAGCUGAUGGCACUUGGGACACUGGAUUCUGUCCCUGAAACUCUCCAUGAAGGCGUCUUGAGGCUCAUCCAGGUCUGCCCACUCUGGACCGCUCCGCCCCUGGCCCUUUGCACUGCUGUCUUCUUUUCCCAAAGAGAGCCUCUGCUUCACUUUUACCUCCUCCAAUCUCCUGUAAGUGGAGGUGGAGGUCUCUGAUUAAAUCAAGCUCCCCAGCGUCCAGCUUUAUCCUUCUCAGCACUUCGUAUAAUCAGUCAUGGUUUGCUGACUCUUUUAUUUGCUUGUUUGCUGGCUUCCUAUCUGUACCCUGACCCCACCCCAGUCAAGUUCACACUUCACUGAGCGCAGGGAUUUUGUGUGCCUUGUUCUUUACUGUAUCUUGAGCAACUAGCCCAGCUUCUUAAGUACCCAAGAGGCACUCACUCAACAAUGUUUCUUGAAGAAGUGAAAACUGAAUCACACCUUUUCACACAAUGAUUUCAAGUAUUCCACUAUGGAUAGCAAUUCAUUUUAAGAUACCUAAAAAUAAAACUCAGAAGAAUAGAAAAUAUUCUCGUGUUUUAAGACACCUAAAUUCCACAAUAAUAUAUUAACAAACAAAGCCAAAAAUAAUUCAAGUAUAAUCAAAACAAAACAAAACAAAAAACAAAUUAAAUAUGAAAGCUUCUCUCUACAUUGGGUGGAAUAGUCAACAAAUGGUAGAAAUAAGAGAACUAAAAAAGAAAAUUGGGGGGAGAUGCUUCUAUUUUAAUAAACCAGAUUGUCUCUAAAUUGGGUAUGGGAACUUCUUUCACACAUAAGAUUUAUUUUUAUCCUACUCUCCCCCCUAAAAAUAAGGUGUUUACCAUGCGAGCUGAGAAUACUCAAGUUCCCUUUGGUACAUGGAUGCAAAUCUGGCUUCCAUUCUUUCCCUCCUGCAUCCAAGAUGAGUUGGUAGCUCCUCCCACCAGGAGGAUUGUCUAUUUCCCUUCCUCUGGAAUCUGGGCUUGAUUUUGUCGGUAUGAUGAGGUCAAAGUGACAACGAUCCAGUUCACUCCGGAGCUUAAGAGACCUUCCAUGCUUCCACUCUAUUGGAACCUUGCUGCUGCCAUGUGGAUAAAUCCAGACUGACCUGCGGGCAGGAUCAAAGGCCAUGUGGAGCAAAGCUGAUGUGUCCCAGCCAUGGCCAAAAGGGGCCAUGGCUGACCAAAGGGAUUCCAGUAAGCCCAGCGGAGGUGGGCAGAGCUCAGCCCAGAUCAGUGGGUCCAUCCGGCAGAUGCAUUGUCUUGUCACUAAUAGUCAACAGUUCUUUUUAGCCACUUGGUUUUGAGGGAGGGCCAUUCUACCACCACAGCUAGCUGAAACUUCCCCAGUCAUCGUGCUGGACUUCCAGCAGAACCUGAAUCUCACAACGGCUCUGUCUGGUUGCUUCAGGGAUGCUUUUCAAGUCAGUGUCAGAAAAAAGCCAUCUGUGUUCCUACCUUAUAGCACAGGGAAAUGUAUUUAAUACCUCAUUAUGCACAUAAUGGAAAAGAAUCUGAAAGAGAAGAUAUAUACAUGUGUAUAACUGAAUCACUUUGCUGUAUAUCUGAAGCUGACAACAUUAUAAAUCAACCAUAAUUUUUAAAAAAUUUUAAAAAGAAGCCAUCUCAGAAUUACGUAGUGUGAGUGAUCAACAGAAAAACAACCUCAACAGGUA